AAACUGGAACAGGUCGUUCGAGCCGACCGAAAUAAAGUCGACCCGCGUGAGCAGUUCGUCCAUCUGAUAGAGCAGCGCCGGGACCUCGACCAUGGUGCCGACAUCGACGCGCUCGGGCAGCGUAUGUCCGUGCUGGCGCAGAUAGGUCAGUUCGCGCUCGAUGACGAGCUUGGCCUGAUCGAAUUCAUCGACCUGCGAAAUCAUCGGGAACAUGACGCGCAAGUAUCU
rnacentral:misc_RNA from 1 species